GUCAAAUGUUAAAGUCAACCUAUCAACGAGAGUCAAGACAGACCUAACAUAACCCGACAAGGGAGUUAGGACGGGCUGUGUAUUUGGCAACCGCGCGCGGUUCAGUGCUCACCGCUCACACCGCUCAACUCAGUGUUCACUGCGCCGGCAACAUGCGAUGUUGCCGCUCUUAAGCUCCGUACACAUAAGUAUAAACACUAUCAAGACAUUGUGCUGAUAUGUUGAAGUAGCGACUAUGCUGAACUGGAACAGCGCGAGAACUUUCUCGAAGCAAAGAAGCCAAACGAAUGCACGUAGACGAGGAUCUACGUCACAGCACACGCCCGAGCCGCUGUCGGAAUGGAACCGGCCGCCAUUUUGUUCAACAAACUCGUGAAUUAGAAAGAGAUAGCAAAUCGACAUCAUCACGUUAUUGUUAUCAAAUUACCUCUUAUUACUUUAAUAUACCGCAAAUGAACUUCUA